GAUUGAGGACGAAAAGAGCCAAACCCAAGCAUCGCAAGACCUUGUGGUCUUAGUUGACACAUGAUCUCCAAAGUCCUGAAA